rnacentral:rRNA from 1 species
AGAGUUUGAUCAUGGCUCAGGACGAACGCUGGCGGCGUGCUUAACACAUGCAAGUCAAGGAGAAAGUCCCGCUUGCGGGACAAGUAAACUGGCGAACGGGUGAGUAACACGUAGGUAAUCUGCCUUCGAGAUUGGGAUAACGUCGAGAAAUCGGCGCUAAUACCAAAUAAGGUCUCGGUAUAAUCUAUCGAGAUGAAAAGUGGGGAUCUUCGGACCUACUGCUUGAAGAUGAGCCUGCGUCUGAUUAGCUAGUUGGUAGGGUAAUGGCCUACCAAGGCGACGAUCAGUAGCUGGUCUGAGAGGAUGAUCAGCCACAUUGGGACUGAGAUACGGCCCAGACUCCUACGGGAGGCAGCAGUGAGGAAUUUUGCGCAAUGGGCGAAAGCCUGACGCAGCAACGCCGCGUGAUUGAUUGAAGCUUUGAGGAGUGUAAAGAUCUGUCGCAGGGGAAGAAAUAGUCCGACGAAAAUAUCUUCGGAUUUUGACGGUACCCUGUAAGAAAGCUCCGGCUAACUCCGUGCCAGCAGCCGCGGUAAUACGGGGGGAGCAAGCGUUGUCCGGAAUCACUGGGCGUAAAGAGCACGUAGGCGUCUUAGUAAGUUUCUGGUGAAAUACUUCUGCUCAACGGAAGAACUGCCAGAGAAACUGCUUAGAUUGAGUUCAGGAGAGGGAAGCGGAAUUCCUGGUGUAGCGGUGAAAUGCGUAGAUAUCAGGAAGAACACCGGUGGCGAAGGCGGCUUCCUAGUCUGAAACUGACGCUGAGGUGCGAAAGCGUGGGGAGCGAACAGGAUUAGAUACCCUGGUAGUCCACGCC